rnacentral:rRNA from 1 species
GAAACCGGAGCUAAUACCGGAUAAUAUUAUGAACCGCAUGGUUCAAAAGUGAAAGACGGUCUUGCUGUCACUUAUAGAUGGAUCCGCGCUGCAUUAGCUAGUUGGUAAGGUAACGGCUUACCAAGGCAACGAUGCAUAGCCGACCUGAGAGGGUGAUCGGCCACACUGGAACUGAGACACGGUCCAG